UUGAGCGAGUGAGUGAGCGGGUGUUGUUUCCCAGGAAAUCUUACUCAGUGGCUCCUCCACCUGAAAGACACGCCUGAAAGGGGCGCAGCUCUAGAGAAUUAAUGGUACGGUCCCCUCCCACUCAGCCCCGGGUGAGUCAACUGAGGUAACCCGAGUGCUCCAGGGAACACUGACCGUGAGCUACUCAUCCAGAUUCUGACACGACUAUUGCUGCUGCUGCUAACACUACUGCCGUUACCGCCACCACUGCUGGUACUACUACCACCACCACCACCGCCACCACCACCGCCACCACUACUACUACCACUUCUGAGGCAGUGUCACGCACUGAACUCUACAUUUCUAAAUGAACCGCUUAACUGUAAUGGAAAUUAAGCCUCAUUUUCAAUGGCAAAAUCUGUACUGGCCUAAAAUAAAUGCUGAUUGGGAAACCCCAAGGCAGAAGAAUGAGCCAGAACUGUUGAGAUGGGAUGGGGCACCUCCCACCUGUCUCCCCAGAGUGACGAAGCUGCCGAUGGGACAUCAGCCACUCGCAGCCUCCCAGAGCAGGGCAGGCGUGGGAUGCAAGCCCAGGGCUGGGGAGACCUUCUGCCCGGCUUCCCCGCCUGCCAGAGGGUCCGCCCAGAGGCUGCCACCGUGGGCGUUGGAUUCCCUCCAAGGCCAGUGACUCUGAAGGUUCAAAGAAGUUUGCCAUCAUUGGGGGGACGAGUUCCUCAUCUCUCCAGCCGACUACCAGACCAGGGCCCAGGCGGUAACGGUCUCUGCACAUCCGCCCUCCCAUGAUCACAGUCUAGUGCUGGCAGUGCUAGCAGUUGCUCUGAGGCCUGUGUACUGUAGACAGGGGCCUAACUUAGGUUGUCGGGGGGAGGGUCUCAACCUAGCAGCUGAGGCCUGGGAGUGGGCAGGCGCCUCCCACUGGCCAAAAUUGUGUGGUUUCCCUACCAAAACUGUGGCUGCCCGCAGGGCUGGGGUAGCCGUGUUCAGAUGGUCAGGAUUCACAGGACCAGGAUUACGUCAGAAAAGGGGGGCCACCAUGGAAACAGCAAACCAGUGUCAGCAUGUAACGCCCCCUCCUGCUGAGGCCAUGGCAGGCUGAACACUCUUGGAGCUGGGGCUGUGUCUGCAUCCUCUCCUCUUGAGUCUGGAAGGCCUGUGUCUUCUUGUAACUAUGGAGUGUGGUGGAAAUGAUGCAGUGUGACUUCCGGGCUGGGCAUAAAGGGCCCGCAGCCUCUGUGGUCACUGGACUCUUCUGCUUGGGGCCUGGCACCUAACUAAGAAGGCUGACCACCCUGAGGCCGCCAGACUGGAGGAAGCCAAGCCAUAGGAGAGGCCACUUGUGGGGAAUGUGGGUGCCCCAGCCCAGUUCCUGAUGUGGAGAUGGAGCCCCCACCCGGGCAGUUCCAGCCUUUGAGUCUUCGCAGCUGAAGCCCUGAUGUCCAGGUGCCUGACCCUCAGAGUCUACAAACAUCACUCCAUGGUUACCCUGUGCUGUGGAGCCUGUCAGAGUCGACCAGCCUUAACCGACGGCAGUGCCACUCACAUGGAGUGUCCCUGACAGAGCUGAAGGACAGUUCCACAGCCAGCUGCAAACACCAGCAAGCCUGGUCUCUGACCUCGAGGGCUUGUGGACCAUUGGACUGACAAGGACAGAAGUAGAAUGGGCGUUUCUAAGGUAACAGAAGAAGCACUUCCAGGGCAAGUGAACUUCGCUCCGACAUGGAAAGGCAUUUAGAAGGCGCUGUGGGAAUUACCAAGAGAUUCACAGCUGAAUCAGGCCCGAUAUGGCCACGCGUGGAAAAGUGGGUCCAGUGGAUGUGCGUUUCUGGUUAAAGCCUCGAGCAGACAUUCUUGGAUUUUGUGAUAUCUCUAAUAUUGCUCCAGUUUCUCUCUCAGAGUUGCAAUAUGCUUUUAAAAUUCCCCCAAUUAAUUUCAAUUUGUGUAGAAUUUAUAAAACUGAAUGUUUGCUGUCAUAGUACCGUGGGGGGGGAGUAGGCUAAUUAUGAAGUCAAAUAAAAGGGUGUCAUUAUGUUUACGA